AUGGAGAUAGUGGAGAAGCUAUCUCUCAACACAAGACCACAUCCACAUCCUUACUACAUCCAAUGGUUCAACAACAGCGGCAAGGUUAAGGUAACACAUACUGUUCGUGUGCAUUUUAGUAUCUCUACAUAUGCUGAUUAUGUUGAUUGUGAUGUGGUACCUAUGCAAGCAUGUUCCUUAUUACUUGGUAGACCAUGGCAAUUUGAUAAAAAUUCUACACACCAUGGUAGAAACAAUCAGUAUACUCUUGUUCAUACGGACAAAAAUAUUACUUUGCUUCCUAUGACUCCUGAUUCCAUUUUGAAAGAUGAUGUUAAUAGAGCUAAUAAAGCAAAACAUGAGCAAAAUAAGAGUGAAAAUCAGAUUGUGGCAAAAGAAUUUGAGCAACAAAUGAAGCCUAAUAAUAAACCAUUUAGUGUUGCUUCUGAAAUUAAAUUGAAAACUGCAUGUUUACUUACCACCAAAUCUGAUAUUGAUGAUAUAGAUUUUAGCAAAUCUGUUUGCUAUACUUUUGUGUGCAAAGAGGCAUUAUUUUCAUUCGAGGACAUGCCUUCCUCUUUGUCUCUUACUGUUACUAACAUUUUGCAGGAGCUCGCUGACGUCUUUCCACAAGACGUGCCACCGGGAUUACCACCUAUUCGAGGGAUUGAGCAUCAGAUUGACUUAAUUCCUGGUGCCUUGCUACCCAACCGUGCACCGUACCAUACCAAUCCAGAGGAGACGAAGGAGAUUAUGCGUCAAGUCAAGGAGCUGCUCGACAAAUGUUAUAGACGCGAACCACUUAGUACUUGUGCUGUUCCUAUUAUUCUAGUGCCGAAAAAGGAUGGUACAUCGUGUAUGUGUGUUGAUUGUAGAGGCAUUAAUAAUAUUACUAUUCGUUAUCAUCAUCCUAUUCCUAGGCCAGAUGAUAUGCUUAAUGAAUUGAGUGGCUCUACAAUAUUCUCCAAAGUUGAUUUGCGUAGUGGAUACCAUCAAAUUCAUAUGAAAUUGGGAGAUGAAUGGAAAACAAUAUUAAGAACUAAGUUUGGAUUAUAUGAUUGGUUAGUCAUGCCUUUUGGGUUAACUAAUGCACCUAGUACUUUCAUGAGAUUAAUGAACUAA
rnacentral:rRNA from 1 species